rnacentral:rRNA from 1 species
ACUCCUACGGGAGGCAGCAGUGGGGAAUAUUGCACAAUGGGCGCAAGCCUGAUGCAGCCAUGCCGCGUGUAUGAAGAAGGCCUUCGGGUUGUAAAGUACUUUCAGCAGUGAGGAAGGUGGGUAUGUUAAUAGCAUACUCAUUUGUACGUUAGCUGCAGAAGAAGCACCGGCUAACUCCGUGCCAGCAGCCGCGGUAAUACGGAGGGUGCGAGCGUUAAUCGGAAUUACUGGGCGUAAAGCGCAUGCAGGUGGUUUGUUAAGUCAGAUGUGAAAGCCCGGGGCUCAACCUCGGAAUUGCAUUUGAAACUGGCAAACUAGAGUACUGUAGAGGGGGUAGAAUUUCAGGUGUAGCGGUGAAAUGCGUAGAGAUCUGAAGGAUACCGGUGGCGAAGCGGCCCCUGGACAGAUACUGACACUCAGAUGCGAAAGCGUGGGAGCAAACAGGAUUAGAUACCCCGUGGUAGGUCAGUC